UGGGGAAUAUUGCACAAUGGGCGCAAGCCUGAUGCAGCGACGCCGCGUGAGGGAUGACGGCCUUCGGGUUGUAAACCUCUGUUAGCAGGGAAGAAGAGAAAUUGACGGUACCUGCAGAGAAAGCGCCGGCUAACUACGUGCCAGCAGCCGCGGUAAUACGUAGGGCGCGAGCGUUGUCCGGAAUUAUUGGGCGUAAAGAGCUUGUAGGCGGUUUGUCGCGUCUGCUGUGAAAGGCCGGGGCUUAACCCCGUGUAUUGCAGUGGGUACGGGCAGACUAGAGUGCAGUAGGGGAGACUGGAACUCCUGGUGUAGCGGUGGAAUGCGCAGAUAUCAGGAAGAACACCGAUGGCGAAGGCAGGUCUCUGGGCUGUAACUGACGCUGAGAAGCGAAAGCAUGGGGAGCGAACAGGAUUAGAUACCCUGGUAGUCCAUGCCGUAAACGUUGGGCACUAGGUGUGGGGGACAUUCCACGUUUUCCGCGCCGUAGCUAACGCAUUAAGUGCCCCGCCUGGGGAGUACGGCCGCAAGGCUA
rnacentral:rRNA from 1 species